AGUCUUGUAGUGUAACGCACGUCGGAUUGCAAAUCUGAAGGAGCAAUUUAAUAGUUGCCGGGGCUU
rnacentral:tRNA from 1 species